rnacentral:ncRNA from 1 species
GGACAAUCCGCAGUCCUAACAAGGCGGAGCGACUGGUGAUAGAGAACACCUAUAAAAGCUUA